CAUCGUAGAUGUCCUCAGUUAAGAAGAGGCGGCCCUAAUCCAGCAUGACUGGUGUCCUUGUGAGAAGAGGGAGAGACACAGAGAGCAUACGACGUGAAGACACAGAGGCACAGCGCUGGACGCAGGCAGAGACUGGAGUGACGCUACCACAAGCCAAGUAAUUUGCCCAAGUUCAUAAACAAGUCUGGCUCUCGGCAGUGAGCACCAGUGAGCAUCUACACAGCCGUCUUGGAGGCAGGAGGCAGGAGGAGGCAAGCUGUGUGUCACCGCACUUCAGCACUGCUCAGGACUCUGGGUUUGCUCCUGGUGCCAUGCUGCGCCCUCUCUCCAGAGGCUUUCCCCCACGAGCCAGCCUUCUGGAGCUGAGAGCCGGGAGAAAAAGCAGGAUGUGCUGGUGGACAGCUGACGGGAUGAAGUCAGCUGUUCCCGGCGCUGGAGCUUUGCUGAGGCCGCUGGAGCCUGGAACACCACUGCAAUUCAUUGCAUCUUGCAGCAGUGACAUUAUAUUAACAAAUAAUAGUAAUUAUAGUAACAACGAAUUGUGAUAGGAGUAAUCAAAUAACAGCGACACUAGAGCUAA